rnacentral:rRNA from 1 species
AUGAACGCUGGCGGCGUGCCUAAUACCUGCAAGUCGAGCGAACAGACGAGGAGCUUGCUCCUCUGACGUUAGCGGCGGACGGAUGAGUAACACGUGGAUAACCUACCUAUAAGACUGGGAUAACUUCGGGAAACCGGAGCUAAUACCGGAUAAUAUAUUGAACCGCAUGGUUCAAUAGUGAAAGACGGUUUUGCUGUCACUUAUAGAUGGAUCCGCGCCGCAUUAGCUAGUUGGUAAGGUAACGGCUUACCAAGGCAACGAUGCGUAGCCGACCUGAGAGGGUGAUCGGCCACACUGGAACUGAGACACGGUCCAGACUCCUACGGGAGGCAGCAGUAGGGAAUCUUCCGCAAUGGGCGAAAGCCUGACGGAGCAACGCCGCGUGAGUGAUGAAGGUCUUCGGAUCGUAAAACUCUGUUAUUAGGGAAGAACAAAUGUGUAAGUAACUAUGCACGUCUUGACGGUACCUAAUCAGAAAGCCACGGCUAACUACGUG